ACGAACGCUGGCGGCGUGCCUAAUACAUGCAAGUUGAGCGCUGAAGGUUGGUACUUGUACCCACUGGAUGAGCAGCGAACGGGCGAGUAACGCGUGGGGAAUCUGCCUUUGAGCGGGGGACAACAUUUGGAAACGAAUGCUAAUACCGCAUAAAAACUUUAAACACAAGUUUUAAGUUUGAAAGAUGCAAUUGCAUCACUCAAAGAUGAUCCCGCGUUGUAUUAGCUAGUUGGUGAGGUAAAGGCUCACCAAGGCGAUGAUACAUAGCCGACCUGAGAGGGUGAUCGGCCACAUUGGGACUGAGACACGGCCCAAACUCCUACGGGAGGCAGCAGUAGGGAAUCUUCGGCAAUGGACGAAAGUCUGACCGAGCAACGCCGCGUGAGUGAAGAAGGUUUUCGGAUCGUAAAACUCUGUUGGUAGAGAAGAACGUUGGUGAGAGUGGAAAGCUCAUCAAGUGACGGUAACUACCCAGAAAGGGACGGCUAACUACGUG
rnacentral:rRNA from 1 species